GACGUAGGGGGCAAGCGUUGUCCGGAAUCAUUGGGCGUAAAGCGCUCGUAGGUGGAUCGGUAAGUCUGCAAAGAAAGACCCGGGCUCAACUCGGGGAACGGUGUGGAUACUACCGAUCUUGAGGCAAUCAGAGGAUGAUGGAAUUCCCGGUGUAGCGGUGGAAUGCGCAGAUAUCAGGAGGAACACCAAUGGCGAAGGCAGAUCUCUGGGCCGUAACUGACGCUGAGGAGCGAAAGCAUGGGGAGCGAACAGG
rnacentral:rRNA from 1 species